rnacentral:rRNA from 1 species
GAUGUGCCCAGAUGGGAUUAGCUAGUAGGUGGGGUAAUGGCUCACCUAGGCGACGAUCCCUAGCUGGUCUGAGAGGAUGACCAGCCACACUGGAACUGAGACACGGUCCAGACUCCUACGGGAGGCAGCAGUGGGGAAUAUUGCACAAUGGGCGCAAGCCUGAUGCAGCCAUGCCGCGUGUAUGAAGAAGGCCUUCGGGUUGUAAAGUACUUUCAGCGAGGAGGAAGGCGUUGAGGUUAAUAACCUUAGCGAUUGACGUUACUCGCAGAAGAAGCA